UUGUAAGAAGCUAGGAAGAAGAGAACAAGGAUCAGCAUAGAUCUGUGAUAGUUCCGUUGUUGACUGCCUCUCCUUUACUGCUCCACCAGCCUACAACAUUAGGAUCCUGAUUAUGGGGCCUCUACGAAGUGAAUUCCACCCAAGAACACCAGCCUGCACAAAAAUGUUGAUGACUCCACAAGCUUCUUUCAAUAAGAAAUGAUGAGUUGACUCCUGACACCUUGACCCCUUCAGAGAUGAGAUGUCUGCGGAAAGAAAAUGUAGCCUUGCCCAUAUGAAACAAUUUGAUUAUUUCCUAGGAAACACAGUUUCAAACAAAGGUGGAAAAAUCCAUUCCUGACUGCAAUGGUGAAGUGGAUGCAUGGAAUCCCCAGCAAGGUCCUGGCAGACAAGUCCAUGUUGGCCCCGAUAAAUCGAUGAUGGUGGUGGGAGACUCA